rnacentral:lncRNA from 1 species
ACCGUCUAGACUCCAAAGACAGACUAGAGAGCCAGCCUUGAAGGUACAGACCAUCACCCACUCAAGCAUGCUCUGGGACAGACUUGAUGAGGAUGGCCCAUCUCCCCAGAGUUCUUCCUGGCUACAGUCCCAGGGCUACCCCUCCCCCAACUCGUCUCAUUGUUCCACACCUGGGUAAACAGCAGAUAAAGGUAAGUCAGCCUCUCCUGCAGACAGAACGCACCUCAGAGUCAAGAGUGACACAGAAAAUGCCCCUGAGCAGACUCCUGUCCUCUUACUUCAUAGACUGAUUGACGUGACUCGUACCAGACACUCAUCGCUUCCACUAGGGAUUCCAUGCGACACCAUGAAAACACUGUCUGGGUUGAGCAUGGUGGUGCAUGCUGAUAAUCUCAGCACUUGGGAGGCCGAGGCUAAAUUACCAGAUUUAGACUAAGCAUGGCUUCGGAGUGGGACCUGGCCUCAAAAUAAACAAAUAAAAUUCUGGUUCAUUCAUCUUGCCUUGAGAA